rnacentral:rRNA from 1 species
AGAAUCAACGCUGGCGGCGUGCCUAACACAUGCAAGUCGAACGAGAAAGUGGAGCAAUCCAUGAGUAAAGUGGCGCACGGGUGAGUAACACGUGACUAACCUACCCUUGAGUGGGGAAUAACUUACGGGAAACCGAGGCUAAUACCGCAUAACACCUACGGGUCAAAGGAGCAAUUCGUCUUAAGGAGGGGGUCGCGGCAGAUUAGUUAGUUGGCAGGGUAAUGGCCGUACCAAGACGGUGAUCUGUA